CGGAGGAUCCAAGCGUUAUCCGGAUUUAUUGGGUUUAAAGGGUGCGUAGGCGGCCUGUUAAGUCAGGGGUGAAAGACGGUAGCUCAACUAUCGCAGUGCCCUUGAUACUGAUGGGCUUGAAUGGACUAGAGGUAGGCGGAAUGUGACAAGUAGCGGUGAAAUGCAUAGAUAUGUCACAGAACACCGAUUGCGAAGGCAGCUUACUAUGGUCCUAUUGACGCUGAGGCACGAAAGCGUGGGAUCAAACAGGAUU
rnacentral:rRNA from 1 species